GCUGGGAUAGUUUAAUUGGUAAAACGUGUCACUCAUAACGAUAUGUCAAAGGUUCGAUUCCUUUUCUCAGUU
rnacentral:tRNA from 1 species